rnacentral:rRNA from 1 species
AUUGAACGCUGGCGGCAGGCCUAACACAUGCAAGUCGAGCGGAUGAAGCGAGCUUGCUCCUGGAUUCAGCGUCGGACGGGUGAGUAAUGCCUAGGAAUCUGCCUGGUAGUGCUUUAUAACGUCCUGAAACGGGCGCUAGUACCGCAUACUUCCUGAGGGAGCAGGUUGGGGAUCUUCGGACCUCACGCUCUCAGAUGAGCCUAGGUCGGAUUAGCUAGUUGGUGGGGUAAAGGCCUACCAAGGCGACGAUCCGUAACUGGACGGAGUGGAUGAUAAGUCACACUGGAACGGAGACACGGUCAAGACGACUAAGGGAGGCAGCAGAGGGGAAUAUUGGACAAUGGGCGAAAGCAUGAUACAGCCAGGCCGAGUGUGUGAAGAAGGUCUUCGGAUUGUAAAGCACUUUAAGUUGGGAGGAAGGGCAGUAAGUUAAGACCUUGCUGGUGUGACGUUACCAACAGAAGAAGCACCGGCUAACUUCGUG